rnacentral:piRNA from 1 species
UGGUUCAGUAGUAGAAGACUUGUGAGGUC